GACGGAGGGUGCAAGCGUUGUUCGGAUUGACUGGGCGUAAAGGGCGUGUAGGCGGUCGGCCAAGUCUGACGUGAAAGCCCGAGGCUCAGCCUCGGAAGUGCGUCGGAAACUAGUCGGCUGGAGCGCGAUAGAGGAGGGUGGAAUUCCUGGUGUAGCGGUGAAAUGCGUAGAUAUCAGGAGGAACACCAAUAGCGAAGGCAGCUCGCUGGGACGGUACUGACGCUAAGGCGCGAAAGCGUGGGGAGCGAACAGG
rnacentral:rRNA from 1 species